AGUCGGUGCGGAUCCAUGGCAGUCAGGGAAGGGGGGUCUGGCCGUGCCCGGGGGCCAGGCAGGGAGGAGGCGGUGUGCUGGCCAUGUACCCCCGGUGUGCGGCUGUCUUGGUGUCGGGGUCUUGCUGGUUAGCCCCGGUCAUUGCACCGGCAGGCAGCCACUACACCGCUUCUGGCCGGGCUACACAUCAGGCUCUGGGGACUAGGCUGCAUCCAUCCGGCGAUAAAGGUACUGCAGAUAUACUC